rnacentral:rRNA from 1 species
AUGAACAUAUAUAUUAUUCAGAUCAUGUCCGCCUCCUUACAGCUAUAUUUGAUACUGCAGGCUGAGACCGAGUACGAGGAUAAUGUGGAGGAUGCCCCCCUCAUGGAUAUCGACAGCGCCUACUCAGGGAAUCUCCUGGCCGCAACUGAGCACGUCAAAGAGAUUUACAAGUUCUACAGAGAAAAUGAGAAGUUUGAGUUGAUGGAUGAGACACUCUUUCUUACCUUGAACAUAAUACACAAAUUCGUGGGAAAACAAGUGGUGCCAAGCAAGAAGCUGCAGUUAGUUGUAGUGACCGCUAUGCUCCUUGCUUGCAAAUAUGAGGAAGUCUCAGAUACACUUGUUGAAGUUCUAGUGCUAAUUUAUGACCAUGCUUGCAUGAAAAGAAAACUUCUGGAAAUGGUAGAGCGGACGGCCAGCGACCAGGACGACGCUCACAACCCAAGUAAGCUCGAGGUCUGCCCGUAUCUCCACAUUCGUGGGAUCCGCCAUUGGUGUCAGCUUCUUCUUGAACCUGGAGCUCCAUCCAGACAGUCACCUCGGCUGCUCCAACCCCUACGCCAUGGAAGGUGUUUUCACCGAGUUGACUCGAGAGAUGCAAGUAAAAGGUGUACAGGUAGAGCGGCCGGCCAAUGA